GGAGAGAUGGCUGAGCGGACCAAAGCGGCGGAUUGCUAAUCCGUUGUACAGACUAUCUAUCUGUACCGAGGGUUCGAAUCCCUCUCUCUCCG
rnacentral:tRNA from 1 species